GACUUUCCUCCUGGUUUGCCUGGGACUGAGUGGUUUCCUGGGUUUGCAGGACUUUGGUGCUAAAACUGGGUAAGU
rnacentral:miRNA from 1 species